UACGUAGGGGGCAAGCGUUGUCCGGAUUUAUUGGGCGUAAAGAGCGUGUAGGCGGCCAGGUAAGUCAGGUGUGAAAACUCGAGGCUCAACCUCGAGACGCCGGUUGAAACCAUCUGGCUAGAGUCCGGAAGAGGAGAGUGGAAUUCCUGGUGUAGCGGUGAAAUGCGCAGAUAUCAGGAAGAACACCCGUGGCUAAGGCGGCUCUCUAGUACGGUACUGACGCUGAGACGCGAAAGCGUGGGGAGCGAACAGG
rnacentral:rRNA from 1 species